rnacentral:rRNA from 1 species
AUACGGAGGGUGCAAGCGUUAUCCGGAAUCAUUGGGUUUAAAGGGUCCGUAGGCGGGCUAAUAAGUCAGGGGUGAAAUCCCACAGCUUAACUGUGGAACUGCCCUUGAUGCUGUUGGUCUUGAGUUACAGUGAAGUGGUUAGAAUGUGUAGUGUAGCGGUGAAAUGCAUAGAGAUUACACAGAAUACCGAUUGCGAAGGCAGAUCACUAACUGUAUACUGACGCUAAUGGACGAAAGCGUGGGGAGCGAACAGGAUUAGAUACCCUAGUAGUCC